AACGAACGCUGGCGGCAUGCCUAACACAUGCAAGUCGAACGCUCGGCUUCGGCCGGGAGUGGCGCACGGGUGAGUAGCGCGUGGGAACCUGCCCUUCAGUGGGGGAUAACCGAGGGAAACCUCGGCUAAUACCGCAUACGUCCCGGGGGUAACCCCGGGGAAAGAUUUAUCGCUGAAAGGAGGGGCCCGCGUCGGAUUAGGUAGUUGGUGGGGUAACGGCCUACCAAGCCUGUGAUCCGUAGCUGGUCUGAGAGGAUGAUCAGCCACA
rnacentral:rRNA from 1 species